rnacentral:rRNA from 1 species
CCUACGGGUGGCAGCAGUGAGGAAUAUUGGUCAAUGGCCGGAAGGCUGAACCAGCCAAGCCGCGUGAAGGACGAAGGUGCCAAGCAUUGUAAACUUCUUUUGUCAAGGGACAAAAUCAGGCUCGAGAGCCUGACCGAGGGUACUUGAAGAAAAAGCAUCGGCUAACUCCGUGCCAGCAGCCGCGGUAAUACGGAGGAUGCGAGCGUUAUCCGGAUUUAUGGGGUUUAAAGGGUGCGUAGGCGGGCUGUUAAGUCAGCGGUAAAAGCCCGGGGCCCAACCCCGGCGAGCCGUUGAAACUGGCUGUCUUGAGAUGUCGAGAGGUAUGCGGAAUGCGCAGUGUAGCGGUGAAAUGCUUAGAGAUUGCGCAGAACUCCGAGUGCGAAGGCAGCAUACCGGCGGCGAUCUGACGCUGAGGCACGAAAGCGUGGGUAUCGAACAGGAUUAGAUACCCUGGUAGUC